UAUGUAAGUAUCUAUGUAUUUCAGGACACACUGGAAUCAAUCAAAGGCAAGCUAUCAGCAUUAGAGCAAGAUACCCAUCAUAAGUACACAAGUAUUGAUGGAAGAAUUCAAGUGAUUGAGGACAGGACAAGAUGUUUACCGGAGCUGCAUGCAAUUUUGCAGAGGAUUGUAAAGCUACUUGAUGGGAGUAAUAGGCCAACAACAUAUGAGGAAACUGGCAGGAGAAAUCGUGAAAAGAAUAAGGAUACGGGGGAGAGAGGAAAUAGUAGGGUUAACAACGAGAAGCUUGAAAAACCUUGUAGGGAACUGGCUACUGAUCAUAAAAGGACUUAUUCUUUGGGAACUAGUAACUGUGAUCAAUCGAACAUAUUUGGAGGAGUAAAGAGGAAAAUCGAUUUAGUUUCGAGUCCUACUCUUGUUGAAAAGGUGAAAACAAGGAGAGACAGGCAACCAAGCAAAGUUUGCAAGUCCCCGUAUGAAGGCAUAAAGCGGAAUAGGAUAUUUGGAACAAAAACUGAUGGCGAUCAUGUUGAUGAGGUAACUCAAGGACUGGCUUUAAGCGACUUGGAACUGGCUGCCAUUAAAUUUGUUCAGAAGGAACUUGCCCAAAGUGCCGAC